rnacentral:rRNA from 1 species
UGGGGAAUUUUGGACAAUGGGCGCAAGCCUGAUCCAGCAAUGCCGCGUGCAGGAUGAAGGCCUUCGGGUUGUAAACUGCUUUUGUACGGAACGAAAAGGCUCUGGCUAAUACCUGGGGCACAUGACGGUACCGUAAGAAUAAGCACCGGCUAACUACGUGCCAGCAGCCGCGGUAAUACGUAGGGUGCGAGCGUUAAUCGGAAUUACUGGGCGUAAAGCGUGCGCAGGCGGUUUUGUAAGACAGAGGUGAAAUCCCCGGGCUCAACCUGGGAACUGCCUUUGUGACUGCAAGGCUGGAGUGCGGCAGAGGGGGAUGGAAUUCCGCGUGUAGCAGUGAAAUGCGUAGAUAUGCGGAGGAACACCGAUGGCGAAGGCAAUCCCCUGGGCCUGCACUGACGCUCAUGCACGAAAGCGUGGGGAGCAAACAGGAUUAGAUACCCCUGGUAGUCCACGCCCUAAACGAUGUCAACUGGUUGUUGGGUCUUAAUUGACUCAGUAACGAAGCUAACGCGUGAAGUUGGACCGCCUGGGGGAGUACGGCCGCAAGGUUGAAACUUAAAUGAAUUGACGGGGGUCAU